UAAUUAAUGAAACUAAUAUGAAGUUCCUAAUGUUGGUAGAUUUUUUAAUAAACUUGGUCAAACAUGAUAAAGUUUGGGACAAAGUUACGACUUCUUAUAUUUAAGAACAGAGCGAGUUCUUUAUCAAAUAAAUUAAACAAAAGAUAAUACAAGCAAUGGAUAGCAAGCGCAAAACAACCAAUAAAAAUCACAAUACAUAGAAAAUCGUAAUUGUUGUCUUCUUCCUUCGCUUGCUCUUCGUCAUCUAGAGAUUGAAAAAUGCAUUGAACAGACUGUAAGGGAUAGCGACACCUGCAAAUGCCUAGCCAUAGAGCGCUUUGAAGACCACAAUAACCACUUACCACAAACAAGGAGAUCUAGUAGUCGUCCAAUGAAUUAACAUCAGUUGGGGCAUCACUCCACGCAACACAGGCGUCUACUCCAUCACCACCUAUCCAGUGGGUACAAGAAACCAGAUCUUGUCGUACAACACGAUGAAAGAAGAGGUCGAAGUUGCCACUCCAAAAAUCAUCCAAUUAUUUUCCUUGAUAGACACACCAACUUCCAAGAUCCGAAGAGAACCAACCGAUCGGCGACACUAACCCUCACAUGUCGUUCGUUGACGCCGAGAUAUCCGCCCUCGGGGAAGGGAGAGGCCGUAGAGACCUUAUUCCAACGUGCGAUCGUCAAUGCCUCUAGGAAGACCAAAACCAAAGGAAGACAAGACCUACAAAAAAGAAAACAAAAAAGAGGAGGUGCCCCUUCUCCUCUGGCUGCUUUAAGGAAGGGAGAGGAGUGGGACCGGAGUGGCUGCAUGCUUGUUGAGCCCUCGGUGGCGGCUAGGGUUGGGAGAUGCAAUCUA
rnacentral:lncRNA from 1 species